rnacentral:rRNA from 1 species
UACGUAGGGUGCAAGCGUUGUUCGGAAUCAUUGGGCGUAAAGGGCGCGUAGGCGGUUUUGCAAGUCGAAUGUGAAAGCCCAGGCUCAACCUUGGAAGUGCAUCCGAAACUGCGAAACUUGAAUCCUGGAGAGGGUGGUGGAAUUCCCAGUGUCAGAGGUGAAAUUCGUAGAUAUUGGGAGGAACACCGGUGGCGAAGGCGACCACCUGGACAGAGAUUGACGCUGAGGCGCGAGAGCGUGGGAG